UGGGGAAUAUUGCACAAUGGGCGCAAGCCUGAUGCAGCAACGCCGCGUGGGGGAUGAAGGCCUUCGGGUUGUAAACCCCUUUUAGCAGGGAAGAAGCGAAAGUGACGGUACCUGCAGAAAAAGCGCCGGCUAACUACGUGCCAGCAGCCGCGGUAAUACGUAGGGCGCAAGCGUUGUCCGGAAUUAUUGGGCGUAAAGAGCUCGUAGGCGGUUUGUCGCGUCUGCUGUGAAAGUUCGAGGCUCAACCUCGAAUCUGCAGUGGGUACGGGCAGACUAGAGUGUGGUAGGGGAGACUGGAAUUCCUGGUGUAGCGGUGGAAUGCGCAGAUAUCAGGAGGAACACCAAUGGCGAAGGCAGGUCUCUGGGCCAUAACUGACGCUGAGGAGCGAAAGCGUGGGGAGCGAACAGG
rnacentral:rRNA from 2 species